GGCGAUCAGAUACCGCCCUAGUUCAGACCGUAAACGAUGCCAUCUGGCGAUCCGCCGGCGUUAUGUUUGACCCGGCGGGCAGCCACCGGUAAACCUUUAAGUUGGGUUCCGGGGGAAGUAUGGUUGCAAAGCUGAAACUUAAAGGAAUUGACGGAAGGGCACCACCAGGAGUGGAGCCUGCGGCUUAAUUUGACUCAACACGGGGAAACUCACCCGGCCCGGACACCGUAAGGAUUGACAGAUUGAGAGCUCUUUCUUGAUUCGGUGGGUGGUGGUGCAUGGCCGUUCUUAGUUGGUGGAGCGAUUUGUCUGGUUUAUUCCGAUAACGAACGAGACUCUAGCCUACUAAAUAGACACUGCUUCUUUGGAGCGGUGAACUUCUUAGAGGGACAAGCGACGUUUAGUCGCACGAGAUUGAGCAAUAACAGGUCUGUGAUGCCCUUAGAUGUCCGGGGCUGCACGCGCGCUACACUGAAGGCAUCAUCAUGUUUCUUUUCCUACCCCGGAAGGGGCGGGUAACCCGAUGAAACGCCUUCGUGAUUGGGAUAGGGACUUGCAAUUAUUUCCCUUGAACGAGGAAUUCCUAGUAAGUGCGAGUCAUCAGCUCGCGCUGAUUACGUCCCUGCCCUUUGUA
rnacentral:rRNA from 1 species